rnacentral:rRNA from 1 species
GCGCCUUAUGCAUGCAAGUCGAGCGAAGCUUUUCAGUAGUUUACUACAGAAAAUGACUGAGCGGCGAACGGGUGAGUAACGCGUGAGCAAUCUACCUUAGUUACUGGGAUAGCCCGAGGAAACUCGGAUUAAUACCGGAUAAUCUUAUUAUAUCUCAUGAUAUUUUAAGUAAAGGUCAGCCGAACUAAGAUGAGCUCGCGUUCUAUCAGCUUGUUGGUGGGGUAAAAGCCUACCAAGGCAACGACGGAUAGCUGGUCUGAGAGGACGAUCAGCCACACUGGGACUGAGACACGGCCCAGACUCCUACGGGAGGCUGCAGCAGGGAAUAUUGCGCAAUGAGCGAAAGCUUGACGCAGCGACACCGCGUGUGGGAUGACGGUUCUAGGAUUGUAAACCACUUUCAGGAGGGAAGAAAAUGACGGUACCUCCACAAGAAGCCCCGGCCAACUACGUGCCAGCAGCCGCGGUAAUACGUAGGGGGCGAGCGUUGUCCGGAUUUAUUGGGCGUAAAGAGCUCGUAGGCGGUUCAACAAGUCGGUCGUGAAAGUUCAGGGCUCAACCCUGAAAUGUCGAUCGAUACUGUUGUGACUAGGAUAUGGUAGAGGUGAGUGGAAUUCCGAGUGUAGCGGUGAAAUGCGUAGAUAUUCGGAGGAACACCAAUUGCGAAGGCAGCUCACUGGACCAUUAUCGACGCUGAGGAGCGAAAGCUAGGGGAGCAAACAGGAUUAGAUACCCUGGUAGUCCUAGCUGUAAACGAUGGAUACUAGAUGUAGGAAUUGGAUUGACGAUUUCUGUAUCGUAGCUAACGCGUUAAGUAUCCCGCCUGGGGAGUACG